CCUACGGGAGGCUGCAGUGAGGAAUAUUGGUCAAUGGGCGAGAGCCUGAACCAGCCAAGUAGCGUGAAGGAUGACUGCCCUAUGGGUUGUAAACUUCUUUUAUAUGGGAAUAAAGUGCGGUACGUGUACUGCUUUGCAUGUACCGUAUGAAUAAGGAUCGGCUAACUCCGUGCCAGCAGCCGCGGUAAUACGGAGGAUUCGAGCGUUAUCCGGAUUUAUUGGGUUUAAAGGGAGCGUAGGCGGGUUGUUAAGUCAGUUGUGAAAGUUUGCGGCUCAACCGUAAAAUUGCAGUUGAUACUGGCAUGCUAGAGUACAGUAGAGGUAGGCGGAAUUCGUGGUGUAGCGGUGAAAUGCUUAGAUAUCACGAAGAACUCCGAUUGCGAAGGCAGCCUACUGGACUGCAACUGACGCUGAGGCUCGAAAGUGUGGGUAUCAAACAGGAUUAGAUACCCUUGUAGUC
rnacentral:rRNA from 1 species